rnacentral:rRNA from 1 species
UAUGCAAGUCGAACGAGCCUUCGGGCUAGUGGCGGACGGGUGAGUAACGCGUGAGAAUCUGCCCUCAGGAGGGGGAUAACGGCUGGAAACGGCCGCUAAUACCCCAUAUGCCGCGAGGUGAAACUAGUUUUCGCCUGAGGAUGAGCUCGCGUCUGAUUAGCUAGUUGGUGGGGUAAGAGCCUACCAAGGCAUCGAUCAGUAGCUGGUCUGAGAGGAUGAUCAGCCACACUGGGACUGAGACACGGCCCAGACUCCUACGGGAGGCAGCAGUGGGGAAUUUUCCGCAAUGGGCGCAAGCCUGACGGAGCAACGCCGCGUGAGGGAUGAAGGCCUCUGGGCUGUAAACCUCUUUUCUCAAGGAAGAAGAACUGACGGUACUUGAGGAAUAAGCCACGGCUAAUUCCGUGCCAGCAGCCGCGGUAAUACGGGAGUGGCAAGCGUUAUCCGGAAUUAUUGGGCGUAAAGCGUCCGCAGGCGGUCUUGAAAGUCUGUUGUUAAAGCGUGGAGCUCAACUCCAUUUCAGCAAUGGAAACUAGAAGACUAGAGUGUGGUAGGGGCAGAGGGAAUUCCCGGUGUAGCGGUGAAAUGCGUAGAUAUCGGGAAGAACACCAGUGGCGAAGGCGCUCUGCUGGGCCAUAACUGACGCUCAUGGACGAAAGCCAGGGGAGCGAAAGGGAUUAGAUACCCCUGUAGUCCUGGCCGUAAACGAUGAACACUAGGUGUCGGGGGAAUCGACCCCCUCGGUGUCGUAGCUAACGCGUUAAGUGUUCCGCCUGGGGAGUACGCACGCAAGUGUGAAACUCAAAGGAAUUGACGGGGGCCCGCACAAGCGGUGGAGUAUGUGGUUUAAUUCGAUGCAACGCGAAGAACCUUACCAGGGUUUGACAUCCUGCGAAUCUUUUGGAAACAGAAGAGUGCCUUCGGGAGCGCAGAGACAGGUGGUGCAUGGCUGUCGUCAGCUCGUGUCGUGAGAUGUUGGGUUAAGUCCCGCAACGAGCGCAACCCACGUCUAUAGUCGCCAGCAUUAAGUUGGGCACUCUAGAGAGACCGCCGGUGAUAAACCGGAGGAAGGUGUGGAUGACGUCAAGUCAUCAUGCCCCUUACAUCCUGGGCUUCACACGUACUACAAUGCUACGGACAAAGGGCAGCAAACUCGCGAGAGCUAGCAAAUCCCAUAAACCGUGGCUCAGUUCAGAUCGUAGGCUGCAACUCGCCUACGUGAAGGAGGAAUCGCUAGUAAUCGCAGGUCAGCAUACUGCGGUGAAUACGUUCCCGGGCCUUGUACACACCGCCCGUCACACCAUGGAAGUUGGCCAUGCCCGAAGUCGUUACUCCAACCCUUGUGGAGGAGGACGCCGAAGGUGGGGCUGAUGACUGGGGUGAAGUCGUAACAAGGUA